rnacentral:lncRNA from 1 species
CUCACAUUGUAUUGUUUUACAAAGUUUGGUGUCAUCUGCAAACACUGAAACAUGACUUUCAAUGCGGUCUUCAAGAUCAUUUAUAAACAUGUUAAAUAGAAGGGGUCCCAGAACAGACCCCUGAGGGACACCACUUGCCACCUCUGUCCAGCUUGAAAAUUUACUAUUAAUGACAACUCUUUGUACUCUGUUUUUAAGCCAAUGUUCUACCCAAGAACAAGCAUUUUCAUCUAGACCGAUUUCCUUGAGUUUGAACACUAAUCUAUUGUGUGGAACUGUAUCAAAUGCCUUGGCAAAAUCCAAAUAGAUCACAUCCACUGCAACACCCU